rnacentral:lncRNA from 1 species
UUAAGACUUGAGCACCCUUUUAUUCACCAUGACUCUAAACAUAAAUUUAAGAACACAGGAAAGAAUAAACAGCCAAUUCAAGGCCAGCCUGCCCUACACAAUGAGACCUUAUAUCCAAAACUUGAACAGAAUAAGCAGACUGUAAGAAUAAAUCUACUUUUUUGCUUUUCCAAGGAUCCACAUCCUGUGUUCUUUGCACAGCGCCACCAGAAGCCAUGCUCUUCCCGGCUGACAGUGGGGGGGAACCGAGCCUCGCCAGCUGUUUUCUUCUGAACACAAUGAAUGGGCAGAUGCCAGAAUGUGGAAACCGCCAAGGCAGAAAUGGGCCCCGACCUUCAAUGCCCAGGAGCUGUAGGAAUAGGUCUUCACCGGGGGCCAGCCCUAAGCCUGACAAGCCCAAACCUAAGCCAAACCCUAAGCCCAACCCUCAGCCCAACCCCCGGCCUAAUGGGCCUAUCAGACGUGGGAGACCAAUCUGUGGACACCCCCACACCUUGAUUUCCUCCAAUCACGACCUUAUCCCCACCCCCUGGAUUGAGCCUCCUUCCUGCACAAGGACCCUUUCUACCCUGCUGGUUGCGGAGCCCUGGAGUCCAUGUACUGGAGACUGUAACGCCUGACCUGAGUGAGACCCUCUGAGCAAAGAUGCUGUUAUCAAUAAACAACAGGAAACCAUGAAAGGUUCAUGCUUUUCUCAGCACAGAUGGCCAUAAAAAAAACUGAAGACAGGACUGCAAUCUUCCCGAUGCCAAGGACUCCGUUAUCUGCUCACCUGCCUUGAACAUCCUGGGCACCUGGACCACAGCAUUCCACCCAGAUUCCUUAAGAGAGCACCCCCUCCCCAAGCCCUAUGAAACUUUGCUUCCCUCUGGCCAGUUGCUGACAUCUUUCCUGAUCUCAGCCCAUCUGCCCCCUGGUGGAGAAUAAACCAGCCUUUUGCUCACAAAGCCUGUGUCAAGCUGGUCUCUUGUGCAGCAUUUCUCACAGGGACUGAACCCCAGACCUUUGCACUGAGCUGCAACCCCAGCACUGAUU